AGAGAGAGAGAGAGAGAGAAUUUUCCUUCAUAAUUUCCAUGACCCCAAGAUUCGUUUUUCUACUCAAUUCAUUCCUUUGAUUAACAAUUAUAGCAAUCCGCCCACCCACCCAAGAUAAAAAGUCUAACUCAUUCUCUUCCCCUUCUUAAAGACCCUUUUGCUCCCUCAUAUUUCUCAAAUCACCUCUCCAUUCAUUUUCAUAUCUUCUUCUCCUCCUCCUUCAGCUCAUGGGUUGUCCUGAUGACGGAUGCAACACUGGCCUUGUUCUAGGGUUAGGUUUCUCUUCAUCAACCUCCCUGGAAAAGCCUGAUAAUAACAAUAAUCAUAAGCCCAAGAUGAUGUAUAAGCCAUGUUUUGGGCCUUCACUUAGCUUGGGUCUUUCUGGUGAGAUUUACAAUCACCGCGGUUCUAGCAAGAAGAUUAAUGAUGUCAAUAAAGGUUGCGAGGAGUCUGUUGGUGCUGAUUUGCUUCGUCAAGCUUCUCCUCAUAGUGCUGUUUCUUCUUUCUCUGGCGGUAGGGUUAAAAGAGAAAGAGACCUUAGCAGUGAAGAGAUAGAGGCAGAGAGAGUUUCUUCAAGAGUAAGUGAUGAAGAUGAAGAUGCUACUAACACAAGAAAGAAACUUAGGCUCACCAAAGAACAAUCUGCCCUUUUAGAGGAAAGCUUCAAGCAGCACAGCACUCUCAAUCCUAAGCAAAAGCAAGCUCUUGCAAGGCAGUUAAAUCUACGACCAAGACAAGUUGAAGUGUGGUUCCAAAACAGGAGAGCCAGGACAAAGCUGAAGCAAACUGAAGUGGACUGUGAGUUCUUGAAGAAGUGCUGCGAGACACUAACAGAUGAAAAUAGGAGGCUGCAGAAGGAGCUUCAAGAACUGAAAGCUCUGAAAUUGGCACAACCCUUUUACAUGCACAUGCCAGCAGCUACUCUCACCAUGUGCCCAUCUUGUGAAAGAAUUGGUGGUGUUGGUGAUGGUGCUUCAAAGAAUAAUCCAUUUUCAAUGACUCCAAAGCCUCACUUCUAUAAUCCCUUCACCAAUCCUUCUGCAGCAUGUUAAGAUUCCAGGAUAAGAUGCAAAAGAAUUGAGUUAAAAAAAAAAAAAAAACCAAAAAGAGUAGAUCUCCCCCCACAAUCCCUCUAUUUUUGGGUUAAGGGCUUGUAGUCAUCAUUAGUGUAAUUAAUUAUUUUUCAGAAAAUAUAUAGUAACUACUGAUCAACCUACUUUUUUUUUUUAUUACAUGCUUGUAUAUUAUUCAGUAAAUAUAUAAGAAGGGACGAGUAUUAUUUAAAAAA
rnacentral:misc_RNA from 1 species